AUUGAGGCAAAGCCUCUACCUCAGGGAAAUGACAGAACUUAUGGCUCUGACCUGAGCACUUCAGUUGGCAACAGAAAUCUAUGUAAGUACACAGACUCAAAAUAUGCUCUCACCACCCUUCAUGUUCAUGGGGGCCUUAUAUAUAUAUAAAGGAGGGGGGAUAGUUACUUCAGGAAAAAAAAGGCAUAAAAUUUGGGCAGAAAAUUCUUAACCUUCUAGAUGCAGUGUGGGAUCCCAGGAAAGUGGCAGUUAUGUGUUGAGAGCCACAGCCAUAGGGGCCCCAGCAAACUUCCAGCUGACAGCUGAUUGGCUCCUUUGCGGUGAUGCUCAUUGGGGGACUUUUUUUGGCCCCGCCCACACGACCCAGCCAACCUGCCUCAAGAGCAGGGGGGGGGGGGCGGGUUGAGAGGCUCGCUGGAAGCCUGUGGUGGCAGUUGGGCUCUGAGGGAAUUCCUGAAGAGAUCCUGGGGUGCUGCAUGUGUUCUAAAUAUAAAGUUCGUUUCUGCUUGAUAAGUGGCUCUUGAAUUGUGCCCAGCCAGACUGCGGCAGUUAUGCACUGCUGAGGCCACCAAAGAGGAAGUACCAUGGUUGCUCAGGGCAACCAGAGAGCUGCAGAGAGGCCAGGUUAGCUACUUGCAAGAAGCAGGAAAGAGAUCCAGUCCCAGGCUUAAAUGCUGCCCUUCUGCCUGACCCUCUAAGAGAGUGGGAGCCAAACUAUUCCCAACAUGAAAGUGAUUGGUUUAAGACUGAGAAAGAAAGAAUCUCCCAAGUGGAUGGUGGAGAUUUUCUGAUGGCUGCGUAGCCAACCCUGAGGGACUAGCCCCUGAUUUUACCAGACAGUUCCACAGGGAACACAUAUUGGCUGAACAGCACUUGAGACAGUUCUGAGUCAGCAUUUCUAUGUCCCCCAGCUCACAAGCACCUCCAGGGUGAUCUGUAAACAAUGUGGGGUCUGUGCCUAUGAUAAUCCUCACCAAGGGCCAGGACUUCUGUCAGGAACCCAAGCAAUAGGAAGGACACCCUUUGAAGACUUGGAAGUCGACUUCACUGAACUAUCACACCCACAGGACUAUAAAUAUCUUUUGGUUUUUGUGUGCUCUUACUCCGUUUGGGUGGAGGCCUUUCCAACCCACACUGAAAAGGCUAGAGAGAGAGCCAGGAGGCUCCUCUGAGAAAUUAUUCCCAGAUUUGUUAUCCCAAUAACUAUUGGCUCAGAUAAUGGGCCAGCAUUUGUGGCAGAGGUGAUAUAAUCAUUGGCCAAGAGUUUAAAUAUUAGAUGAAAAUCACAAUCGGCCUAUAGGCCACAGAGUUCUGGUAAAGUUGAGAGAAUGAAUAGAACUUUGAAGGCUCAACUGGGUAAACUAUGCCAGGAUACUCACCUACUUUAGGGUGAACUCCUCCCUAUUGCACUAUUGAGGAUAAGAUCACGGCCAUUAAGACGACAAAGUUCUCUCCCUGUGAGCUAUGUAUGGGAGACCUCCUCCACUUAUCAGAGGAUAACCCAGAGAGACUCGAGAGAAAUAGGAGAAUUAACACUGAGGCAAGAGCUUCAGGCCUUAGGGAAAACUUUACAGGUUCUCUACCAAUGGGCUAGAGAAAGGUUGCCAGUAAUUUUGACCACAGAUGCACACUCCUUCAAGCCCUGAGGUUCAGUCUGGGUCAAAGAAUAGGAUAUUCAGCGCCUGAAACCUCUUUGGAAGGGUCCUUUCACUGUCAUUUUGUCUACCCCAACUGUGGUUGCAGAGAUUGGUCCCUGGAUCCAUUACACCAGACUCAAGCCUGCAGCUGUGGACUGGGAGUGCACUCCAGACCCUGCUACAACCUUGCAGCUGACCAUCCGGAGGAAGGAAACACUGGAGAAGUUUGAGGAUCAGAAGGACAACAGCCCUGCUCCAGCCACUCGGGGGGGCUGGCUGAUCAACGCACGGCGGAAGAUAGACUUACCACCAGGACAAAUGGACUCUUUCAGCCUCUAAGAUACUUCUUAUACUGUAAUGCAUUGCUACCCCUUGCUUCUAGGUGUAUACAUAGUUCUCUGCUUGUUUUUUGCUAUUGGUUUGAUGAUAGUAACUCCCACUGACUGGACUUUUGGUAACAAAAUUUCAUUUAUACUUUUUUACCUUGCUUAUAUGGGAUUUCUAGGGUUUAUUUGGUGUUAUUAGUUUGGCUUUGUUAACUUAUACCCUUUAACCUAUGCAAUCCAAAAUGUUGGUCUAUCACUCAGUUGGGUUUCCUUUGAUACUCUUAGGGGACUCUGCCCUACUCCUGCCCCAACAGUGGAGAUCAUGUGAACCGUGUGUCAAGCCGAUCAAGGUGAUAGAUAACACAUAUUUAUAAAAAAUAAAAUAAAAUAAAAUAAAAAACAACCUCUCCCAAAACAAAAAUAAAACAAAACAAAAAUGAAUCCAUGAAAACAGUGAGAAACAUUCCUAUUUUGCCCUAGAGACAUGGAAACACAAAUAUCAACAUGGUGGCUUUGAGACCACCACUUAUAAAGACUCUAUGGUGGAAUACACGUAUAGCUCUCUGGGAGACUAUAUAUAUGCUUGAGCUCAUGAAUACAUGUUUGUGCAUAUGGCUAAUGAGGAUUUCAUGAAACUCGUUAUGAUGUGUUAAAUUAAUAUCAAGAUCACACUAGUGUCCUUAGAGCAAUUUUUAUCUUUUAAUCAACUUUUAUAAUUUUUCCACAUAAGUGCUUUUCUUUUUAUAUGACAUGAGUUUCUUGAGGAAGUGAGUGUUGUUUUCUCAUUGUUAUAAUUAAGAUCUGGAAUAUCCCCCAAAGACAGAUGUGGCGAAGACUUGGUCCCCAAUUAAAAAAUGUUCAGAGGUGAGGCUUUUGGGAAGUGACUGAAUCAUGAAGACUCUAAUCCCAUCAGUAGACAAUCCAUCGAUGGAUUCACAAUUUGAAUGGACUCUCAGUAGGUGGUGGAAAUUAUAGGAGGUGGGACCUAAUAGAAGGGAAUGGAUCCUUGGUACAGUGCUCUUGGCCUUUGUGUUCUCUCUCUCUCUCUCUCUCUCUCUCCUUCCUGGCCACCAUGAGGUGAGCAGCUCAGAUCCAUCAUGCCUUCUAUGCCCUGCUACUCUGUACUCUGACUCAGUACAGACCCACAGCAAUGGAACCAGCCAACCAUGGACUGAAACUUCUGAAACCAUGAACCAAAAUAAUUCUGUCCUCUUUAACUUGAUUUUCUCAGGUAUUUUGUCAUAGUGACAAAAGGUUAACUUAGAACAAAGUAAACAAUAUGUGUUCAAUGUAUUUUAGAUUAAUUAGUAAAAAUGAAUGCAUGGGAGAAUGAAAGGAA
rnacentral:lncRNA from 1 species